AGGUUGAUUCUGGCUCAGGAUGAACGCUGGCGGUGUGCCUAAUACAUGCAAGUCGAUCGGGCGUAGCAAUACGUCAGAGGCGUACGGGUGAGUAACACGUAGGUAACCUACCUUUAAGACUGGGAUACCCAGACGAAAGUUUGGCUAAUACCGGAUAACAACAUUUGAGACAUCUCUUUUGUUUGAAAGGCGCUGCAAGGCGCCACUUUUAGAUGGACCUGCGUCGCAUUAGCUAGUUGGUGAGAUAAAAGCCCACCAAGGCUGGGAUGCGUAGCCGAUCUGAGAGGAUGACCGGCCACAAUGGGACUGAGACACGGCCCAUACUCCUACGGGAGGCAGCAGUAGGGUAGUUUUCGGCAAUGGGGGAAACCCUGACCGAGCAACACCGCGUGAGUGAUGAAGGUCCUUCGGAUCGUAAAGCUCUGUUACGAGGGACGAAUGAUCGCUUUAGGAAAUGAGAGCGGUUUGACGGUACCUCGCCAGAAAGCGACGGCUAACUACGUGCCAGCAGCAGC
rnacentral:rRNA from 1 species